rnacentral:rRNA from 1 species
AGUGAACGUUGGCGGCGUGGAUUAGGCAUGCAAGUCGAGCGAUCGUAGCAAUACGGGAGCGGCAAACGGGGUAGGAAUACAUCGGAACGUACCUUUUGGUUGAGAAUAGCGUUGGGAAACUGACGGUAAUACUCAAUAAAGUCGAGAGACCAAAGGUUUACUGCCGGAAGAGCGGCCGAUGCGAUAUUAGGUAGUUGGUGGGGUAAUGGCCUACCAAGCCUGAGAUGUCUAGGGGGUGUGAGAGCAUGGCCCCCACCACUGGGACUGAGAUACUGCCCAGACACCUACGGGUGGCUGCAGUCGAGGAUCUUCGUCAAUGGGCGAAAGCCUGAACGAGCGACGCCGCGUGCGGGAUGAAGGCCCUUGGGUUGUAAACCGCUGUCAGGGGGAGUGAAACCGUAAGGUUGACAGAGCCCCAGAGGAAGCACGGGCGUAAGUUCGUGCCAGCAG